AAUUCGAUUUGAGUUUGAUCCUGGCUCAGAUUGAACGCUGGCGGCAUGCCUUACACAUGCAAGUCGAACGGCAGCACGGGAGCAAUCCUGGUGGCGAGUGGCGAACGGGUGAGUAAUACAUCGGAACGUGCCCAGUAGUGGGGGAUAACCCGGCGAAAGCCGGACUAAUACCGCGUACGACCUACGGGUGAAAGCAGGGGAUCGCAAGACCUUGCGCUAUCGGAGCGGCCGAUGUCAGAUUAGCUUGUUGGCGGGGUAAAAGCCCACCAAGGCGACGAUCUGCAGCUGGUCUGAGAGGACGACCAGCCACACUGGGACUGAGACACGGCCCAGACUCCUACGGGAGGCAGCAGUGGGGAAUUUUGGACAAUGGGCGCAAGCCUGAUCCAGCCAUGCCGCGUGCGGGAAGAAGGCCUUCGGGUUGUAAACCGCUUUUGUCAGGGAAGAAACGCUCCGGGUUAAUACCCUGGAGUAAUGACGGUACCUGAAGAAUAAGCACCGGCUAACUACGUGCCAGCAGCCGCGGUAAUACGUAGGGUGCAAGCGUUAAUCGGAAUUACUGGGCGUAAAGCGUGCGCAGGCGGCUUUGCAAGACAGAUGUGAAAUCCCCGGGCUUAACCUGGGAACUGCAUUUGUGACUGCAUGGCUGGAGUGCGGCAGAGGGGGAUGGAAUUCCGCGUGUAGCAGUGAAAUGCGUAGAUAUGCGGAGGAACACUGAUGGCGAAG
rnacentral:rRNA from 1 species